UACGUAGGGUGCGAGCGUUGUCCGGAAUUAUUGGGCGUAAAGAGCUCGUAGGCGGUGUGUCACGUCGGCUGUGAAAACCUGCAGCUUAACUGUGGGCGUGCGGUCGAUACGGGCAUCACUGGAGUUCGGCAGGGGAGACUGGAAUUCCUGGUGUAGCGGUGAAAUGCGCAGAUAUCAGGAGGAACACCGGUGGCGAAGGCGGGUCUCUGGGCCGAUACUGACGCUGAGGAGCGAAAGCGUGGGGAGCGAACAGG
rnacentral:rRNA from 1 species